CCAGAUAGCUCAGUUGGUAGAGCAGAGGACUGAAAAUCCUUGUGUCGGCAGUUCGAUUCUGCCUUUGGC
rnacentral:tRNA from 1 species